CGAAAAUCAUUGAAUUAUGUAAAAGGUAGAUUAUUGUUUCUUUCCCUAGUAUUUCCGAUUUGAAAAGACGACGCUUAUAAUUUUGGGUUAAUUUCGAACAAAUAGCAUCCAAUUCAGACAUAAUGGCGAAAGGCAAAAAAGACGACAAUGAAGACGAGUACUCUGCAAAGUUGGACAUGUGUUUGACCGAUGGAAUUGUUAAAACCGGUAGUGGUGUGCUAUUAGGAGGUUUAUCAUCAGUGUUGUUCCUCGGCCGGCGGAGAUGGCCCAUCAUAGCUGGCAUGGGUAUGGGAAUAGGCCUUGCAUAUGCCAACUGUGAAUAUGAAUUAAAUCCUAAAAAGAAGAGUGCUGCAUAAGGAAAGUUGAUUAAUAAUGGUUUGAAUAUCAGAUAAGAACAUUAAGUAAAUAAAUCAUGGGCAAGAACACAGUGCAUUCUUAUUGACUGUAGUAGAUAACUUAUUUAGAGAAUAUUGUAAUUUUGUGUUGUUGUACAAAAUAAUUAUUAUUUAAUAAAUGA
rnacentral:lncRNA from 1 species